GAUGAACGCUGGCGGCGUGCCUAAUACAUGCAAGUCGAGCGAACAGACGAGGAGCUUGUUCCUCUGACGUUAGCGGCGGACGGGUGAGUAACACGUGGAUAACCUACCUAUAAGACUGGGAUAACUUCGGGAAACCGGAGCUAAUACCGGAUAAUAUAUUGAACCGCAUGGUUCAAUAGUGAAAGACGGUUUUGCUGUCACUUAUAGAUGGAUCCGCGCCGCAUUAGCUAGUUGGUAAGGUAACGGCUUACCAAGGCAACGAUGCGUAGCCGACCUGAGAGGGUGAUCGGCCACACUGGAACUGAGACACGCUCCAGACUCCUACGGGAGGCAGCAGUAGGGAAUCUUGCGCAUUGGGCGAAAGCCUGACGGAGCAACGCCGCGUGAGUGAUGAAGGUCUUCGGAUCGUAAAACUCUGUUAUUAGGGAAGAACAAAUGUGUAAGUAACUAUGCACGUCUUGACGGUACCUACUCAGAAAGCCACGGCUAACUACGUG
rnacentral:rRNA from 1 species